CAGCCGCCGCGGGAACACGAAGGGGGCUAGCGUUGUUCGGAAUUACUGGGCGUAAAGCGCACGUAGGCGGAUCGAUCAGUCAGGGGUGAAAUCCCGCAGCUCAACUGCGGAACUGCCUUUGAUACUGUCGGUCCAGAGUAUGGAAGAGGUGAGUGGAAUUCCGAGUGUAGAGGUGAAAUUCGUAGAUAUUCGGAGGAACACCAGUGGCGAAGGCGGCUCACUGGUCCAUUACUGACGCUGAGGUGCGAAAGCGUGGGGAGCAAACAGGAUUAGAUACCCCCGUAGUCCCUGUCUCUUAUAC
rnacentral:rRNA from 1 species